rnacentral:rRNA from 1 species
CAGCCGCCACGGUAAUACGGAGGGGGCUAGCGUUGUUCGGAAUUACUGGGCGUAAAGCGCACGUAGGCGGCUUGGUAAGUUAGAGGUGAAAGCCCGGGGCUCAACCCCGGAAUUGCCUUUAAGACUGCCGAGCUAGCAGGUGAGAGAGGUGAGUGGAAUUCCGAGUGUAGAGGUGAAAUUCGUAGAUAUUCGGAAGAACACCAGUGGCGAAGGCGGCUCACUGGCUCAUACUGGACGCUGAGGUGCGAAAGCGUGGGGAGCAAACAGGAUUAGAUACCCCUGUAGUCCCUGUCUCUUAUAC